UUAUUUUUAACUUUAUUAAUUAUAAGAAACUUGUUCUUUUCCUAAAAUUAGAAGAAUAAUAUCGAGUAAUCAUCAAACACUUGCACAUAAAUAUUGAUCUUAAGACUUUUAAAACACUUCAAAAAAAAGGGCUACAUUCGCUAAUAGCUACAUUGUUUUACUCAUAGUUGUGUUACAAAGUCAUGUUAGCUAUUUAGUCUCUUAGGGUAAAGACAAAAUACAGUAGUAUGGUUCUAACAUGUUAGGUCAUCCUAGUACUAUUUCAAUAAUUAAACACCUUUAUAACCACUUCAAAAAAGCAAAACUUAUUAAAAGGGUUUUAAUUAUGUAUUUAUAAAUGUAGAGAGGUACG
rnacentral:antisense_RNA from 1 species